UACAUCAGCUUGGUGAACAAAAAAAAAGGGGGAAAAACUUCGCUUUCGGAUUCAGUUGAGGUGGAGGCCCUCGUUGUGACAAAGUUCAUUCCAGAAGAAAAGUUUACGUCAGUCUCUGCUUGAUCUCAUAACUGGUAGCUUCGACUUCUGUACAGUACUCGCAAGCAAAGAUGGAGCCUUUGCUGAAAGGCGAAAGCAGUGGUCAGAGGAUGCGACCGCCUGGGAUUUUCCAUCAUCGCUCACAUGCUAUAGCCUACGGCACGCCCUCCGUGAAAGCGGCAGCACUUGUGGAUCUGGCUGAAGACGGCGUCGGCAUCCCGGAGCAAAUCCUCGAUUCGUCUAGAUUUCAGAGUUCUGCUAGAUUUUAUUUUAUAUUUAUUAAAUUAAACUUUAUAUGGUCUCUUGGUUACUUUGCCCUGCUAGUCCUGAAUUUCCUCGAGAAACCCUUGUGGUGUGAAAAAUAUACCGCUUAUUCUUGCGAAGAUAGGGAGUAUUUCUUUCUGGGGCAGCUGCCAUAUCUAACUGGUGCAGAAUGUGUUAUUUACGAGGGUAUAACUCUUCUUGUGCUUAUCGUGCAUAUUUUUUUCCCGAUAUCGUAUGAAGGCUCCUGCAUAUAUUGGAAAAAAACUGUUAAUCAAUUGAAGGUGUUGUGUCUGUUAGUUCUGGCUGCUGAUAUGGUGGUUUAUGCUGUGUAUUUGUCUCCAGUGACUUUUUAUUCUCUACCUGUCAGAUUUGCACCUUAUGUCAGGGUUCUUCUUUUCAUUUUACAUAUUAGGGAAUUACGAGCAACCCUUACCAUCUUGGCUGGAAUGCUUGGCACAUACCUGAAUGUCCUGGCCUUGGGGCUUCUGUUUCUUCUUUUCUCAAGUUGGGUGGCCUAUGUGAUGUUUGAAGAUACUCAACAGGGGAAAAUAGUAUUCACUUCCUAUGGCACCACAUUGUAUCAGAUGUUUGUUUUAUUUACCACAUCCAAUAAUCCAGAUGUUUGGAUUCCUGCAUACAAGGCUUCACGUUGGUACUGCCUGUUUUUUGUUCUCUUUGUGCUGUUGGGGGUCUACUUUGUCACGAAUUUGGUCCUUGCCGUUGUUUAUGACAGUUUCAAGAGUGAGCUUGCAAAACAAGUUUUUGAGAUGGAUCAAAUGAGAAGAAAUAUGUUGGGGAAAGCAUUUGAUCUGUUAGAUGAUAAUCAUGUUGGGUAUCUUAACAAAGACCAAUGUAUUGAACUCUUUCAGGAGCUGAACAAGUACAGGACUUUGCCAAAUAUUUCCCGGGAAGAAUUUGAGUUGAUAUUUGAUGAGCUGGACGAUAGUCAUGAUGUAAAGAUCAACAAGGAUGAAUUUGCUGAUAUUUGCAAUGCCAUUGCUUUAAAGUUCCAGAAGGAGGAUAGUCCAUCUUACUUUGAGUACUUUUCAUUCUACCAAGCUUCUAUCUCCAAGAAGUUGAAAGCCUUUGUGCGGUGCCCCAAGUUUGGAUUGCUAAUAUCCUUCAUUCUUAUAUUGAAUCUGAUUGCUGUUGUAAUUGAGACAACGCUUGAUCUACAAAAUAAUUCUGCUCAAAAGGUGUGGCAAGGGGUUGAGUUUGUUUUCGGGUGGAUAUAUGUAAUAGAAAUGGCUUUAAAAGUUUAUUCAUAUGGAUUUGAGAAUUAUUGGCGGGAUGGUCAAAAUCGCUUUGAUUUUAUGAUCACAUGGAUAAUUGUCAUCGGGGAAACUAUGACUUUUGUUACACCUGAUGGGCUGAUUUUUUUCUCAAAUGGAGAAUGGAUUCGGUACCUUCUUUUAGCAAGAAUGCUGAGGUUGAUAAGGCUCCUUAUGCAUGUCCAGCAAUACCGAGCCUUUGUGGCAACCUUCCUAACUCUCAUACCAAGUUUGAUGCCAUACCUUGGAACCAUAUUUUGUAUCUUAUGUAUUUAUUGCUCCCUUGGUGUACAGAUCUUCGGUGGAAUUGUCAAUGCUGGAAAUCCCAAAUUGGAAACAACAGGCCUUUCUGACAAUGACUAUCUGAUCUUUAAUUUUAAUGAUUAUCCAAAUGGAAUGGUUACACUUUUCAAUUUGCUAGUCAUGGGAAACUGGCAUGUAUGGAUGCAGAGCUACAAGGAAUUAACAGGAACUUCUUGGACCUAUCUUUACUUUAUUAGCUUCUACUUAAUAACUGUUCUGCUGCUUUUGAAUUUGGUUGUUGCUUUUGUCUUGGAGGCAUUCUUUGCUGAAAUGGAGCUUGAGACGUCUGCUGAUACUAGAGAAGAAGAUGACAAGGAGGUUGAAGGAGAAAGACAUCGAAGACGACGUAUUGGCACCAAAUCCCGCAGCCAAAGGGUUGAUGCUCUUCUUCAUCAUAUGUUGAGCUCUGAGUUGUGUCAAGCACAGCCUUCACAUCCAUAACGGCUGUUGCAGGUGAAACGGGAAAGCUACUUGUCUACCUGGUUUUUUCUCUUACGCAAAGAAGUCUGUCUUUGUUGAGCUUCCUCAAUUUAACUUGGGAAGCGCUGAGGAGAACAUUUCAGUAUAUACAUGUAUCUGUAAUGCUUCAUGGGUCAGUGGUGUCAUCGUUCUGCUUGAUGGGUUCAAGGCUGGUACUAGAGGUGGGGAAAUAUGAGACAGAAUUAUAUACUAGUUUCACACAACACAUUUAAAUACUAUAAAGUUCAUUGACAACUUAAUAAAAGAAAAUGAUGACACAUUUUAUUUUGUUCAGUUGUUAAUAGAUCUUGUAGUAUUUAAUUAUAUUAUGUGAGACUUUAAAGUAAUUCUCCAAAAAUGAAAUGAAACAUGUGUGGAUCUUGAGUGAUUAGUUGGAGGUGGAUUGAAAGUUUUCUUUUGUUUUUUUUUUUUUUUUGGUUUUUGGGUAAUCUUUCCUCCCUAUGGAAAGAGAAUUGACGAUUAAACAUGAAUAAUCUUGUAGUAUUUAAUUAUAUUAUGUGAGACUUUAAAGUAA